rnacentral:rRNA from 1 species
AUGGCGGACCCGGUUAGCAUCACUGCUGCUGUAGGAUGGGGCGUAACCGCAGUAGGUUGGCUCGCCUCACCCAUCAUUCCUAGGCUCCUCAACAAAGCUUUCACCGUCCUGGACUUUAACGCAACGGAGAAGCUGAAGAUUGUUGAUAUGCAAGUUUUACAACUGCAGCGGGUGAUGGAAGUAGUCGACGAGAGCACCUACAGGGCUCGCUUGGAGCCACUGUUAGACAAGCUUAGGUCUGCUCUCUACGAGGCCGAAGACAUCUUGGAUGAUGUUGAGUAUCAGCGCCUCAAGAAGCAGACCCAAGAUGCCAAGUCAUCCGGCAGUAAGAUGGAUUCACUGAAGAAGACUCUUCGGUCUGCCAUGCCAAGAUCCCUCCUAAAAGAUAAGGAGAGUGGUAUGUCAAAAGUGGAAUUGAAGAAGAGCCUAGAGAAGAUAGAAAGUGCUAUAAAUGAUGCAUGUGAAGUUUUGAAACAACUGAACUUGCCAGGUGGACAUAAUGAUGAUGGGAGGCGAGCUGUUGCUACCAAUUCACGCCGUGCAGUCACUACUGCAGCCCCUCCGAUAGGAGUAAUUGGUCGGGAUAAGGAUCGUGACAAGAUAAUCGCAAUGCUUCAUGAGAUGGAAGACCAUUGUCAAGCAAAUACUGUUAGUGAUAAAUGCUAUUCUGUAAUUGGCAUUCAUGGAAUGGCUGGGUCAGGGAAAUCAACACUUGCACAGUGUGUUUAUGAUCAUGAGAAAAAGUGUAGGAAAGACAAAAUGGAAGGACAUUUCGAUAUUGUCAUGUGGAUUCAUGUUUCUCAGAAAUUUGAUUUGGAUACCAUUUUUAGGGAGAUGUUUGAGGGGGCUACAGGGGAAGAAUGCCCGAAAUUCAAUAGUCGUAAUGUCCUGAAGGAAAAACUGGAGGAUGAACUGCGUGGGAAACAGAUUUUACUGGUACUGGAUGAUGUCUGGUACAACAGUAGGAAUUCGGGAGACCGUGAAGAACUAAAAACGUUAAUUUCUCCUCUGAAUGUUGGAAAGGAAGGAAGCAGAAUCUUGGUGACAAGUCGAACUGAAGCUGCAUUAGUAGCUCUAGGUGCUGUAAAAGAGAGAUGUAUUCCAAUAUCUGACUUGGAUGAUGAAGUGUUCCUUAAAAUGUUCAUGCAUUAUGCACUUCGGGAUGCAAGGGUAAGUGACCAUGAUAGAAGAAUACUUGAAAUGAUUGGGGAGGACAUUGCAAAAAAGCUGAAGGGAUCACCUCUAGCAGCCAGAACAGUGGGUUCACGGCUCCGUGAGACACAAACUGUUGAGUUUUGGAGGAGUCAGAAAGAUAGGGACCUUAUGAAAGAGACAAUGGGAGCUCUAUGGUGGAGCUACCAGUAUCUUGAUGAGCAGGUCAGGCGAUGCUUCGCUUACUGCAGUAUUUUUCCCAGGCGGCAUAAGUUGAGACGUGAUGAGCUAGUAAAGUUAUGGGUGGCAGAAGGGUUUAUAAAGACUAGUAAGCCUGAAGAGGAAAUGGAAGAUGUUGCUAAAAAUUAUUUUGAUGAAUUACUGUCGGCCUCAUUUCUGCAAAAGGUUGAACUUCGAGAUGGACGUGAGGUUGAUUACUUUACAAUUCAUGACCUCCUGUGUGAUUUGGCGGAGGAGGUUGCUGGAAGAGAUUGCUUCAGGAUUGAGAAAGGCUUCACAGGAGAAGUUCCUCAAGAUGUUCGCUAUCUUUUUGUUGGGACCUAUGACACAAAGAUCCUUGCUGAGAAGAUAUCCGGAUUGCAAAAAUUACGCACUCUCAUCAUCGGCGACAGGAUACAUAUCAACUCAAGUACUGCGUGCAAAGUCUUUGCGGGUAUGUUCACUAAGUUAACCGAGCUGCGGAAAUUGCGGGUACUGAAGAUAAAUUUUGUUGGACUAGCUCAUGCUAGGUUCUCAUUCCCAGAUUCUAUUGGUCAGUUCAAGCAUCUACGAUAUUUUGCUUUUUUGGUGACUGCAUUGGUCGAGCUAACUUUAUCGGGCGCCUUUACCAAGCUUUACCACAUGCAGGUGGUAGACUUUCUUUCUUGCCAACGUUUGGAUUUUUCUAGAGGUGCAGAUAUGAUGAACCUUGUCAACUUGCGCAGUGUAAUCAGCUGGGCAGAUUUCGAUUUUCCUAACGUGGGCAGGUUGAUAUGGCUCCAGACGCUACCAUUCUUCAGAAUAAGGAGGGAACAGGGCUAUGAGCCACAUCAGCUGAAACACCUAAACAAGCUUCAAGGCAAGCUGGCAAUCCAUGGUCUGCAGAAUAUUGAGAGCAAGGAGGAAGCUCUUGAAGUCAAUCUUGCUGGCAAGGAAAAACUCACAGAACUGGUACUGUGCUGGGAUGAUGAUAGCUGCAGUCCGGAAAUUCAAGCAGAGGUACUUGAGGGUCUUUGCCCAUCCAAGUAUCUUGAAAGACUAGAAAUCCGGAAUUAUCACAGUACAAGGUUACCGAGUUGGAUGAUGGGUAAGCAUAACUGCAGCCCAAAGAACCUUAAAAUACUUGAGCUCCGUGGAUGGAUCCAACUGGGACCUGCUCCUGACCUUGGGGCUUUCAUUCAUCUUCAGUCGCUAUUUCUUUCUGCCUGCAACUGGGAUGCCUUACCAUGCAACAUGGAGCACCUCACAGCGCUCAAGAAACUGGAUAUACAGUCAUGCAAGAAUAUACGAUCGCUCCCAACACUGCCCAAGUCUCUUGAGUGGUUUCAAGUCAUGGGCUGCAUAUGGGAUGCCUUACCAGGCAAUAUGGAGCACCUCACAGCGCUCAAGAGACUGGAUAUAAAAUCAUGCAAGAAUAUACUGUCGCUUCCAACACUGCCCAAGUCUCUUGAGGAGUUUAACGUCAUGAACUGCAGCAGGGAUGCCUUACGAGGAAAUAUGGAGCACGUCACAUCGCUCAAGAAAUUUGAGAUCAGGUCAUGCAAGAAUAUGCGGUCGCUCCCAACACUGCCCAAGUCUCUUGACGAGUUUAUAGUUGUGGGCUGCAGCUUCAAUGCCUUGCCAGGCAAUAUUGAGCACAUCACAUCACUCAGGAGACUGAAUAUACAGUCAUGCGAGAAUAUGCAGUUGCUUCCAACACUUCCAAAGUCUCUUGAGGAGUUUAUCAUCUUAAAAUGCAGCUUGGAUGCCUUACCAGGCAAUAUGGAGCACCUCACAGCGCUCAAGAGACUGGAUAUAAAAUCAUGCAAGAAUAUACUGUCGCUUCCAACACUGCCCAAGUCUCUUGAGGAGCUUACCGUUACAGACUGCAGUUUGAAUGCCUUACCAGGCAAUAUUGAGUGCCUCACAUCACUCAAGACGAUGAAUAUACGGUCAUGCAAGAAUAUACAGUCGCUUCCAACACUGCCCAAGUCCCUUGAGGAGAUUACAGUCAAGUGGUGCAGUGACGAGUUCAUACAAUCUUGUGUAACGACUGAUGAUCCAAACUGGCAGAAGAUUGAGCACAUUCCAAAAAAAACAAUUAAAUUCUAUAGUGAAAAAGGUCCACACGAAAGUUGA